rnacentral:rRNA from 1 species
ACGAACGCUGGCGGCAUGCCUAACCCCUGCAAGUCGAACGAUUGCCUUCGGGUGAUAGUGGCGCACGGGUGCGUAACGCGUGGGAAUCUGCCCUUAGGUUCGGAAUAACAGCUGGAAACGGCUGCUAAUACCGGAUGAUAUCGCGAGAUCAAAGAUUUAUCGCCUGAGGAUGAGCCCGCGUUGGAUUAGGUAGUUGGUGGGGUAAAGGCCUACCAAGCCGACGAUCCAUAGCUGGUCUGAGAGGAUGAUCAGCCACACUGGGACUGAGACACGGACCAGACUCCUACGGGAAGGAGCAGUGGGGAAUAUUGGACAAUGGGCGCAAGCCUGAUCCAGCAAUGCCGCGUGAGUGAUGAAGGCCCUAGGGUUGUAAAGCUCUUUUACCCGGGAAGAUAAUGACUGUACCGGGAGAAUAAGCCCCGGCUAACUCCGUG